GGGUGUAUACCUCAGUGGUAGAGCUUUCGACUGCAGAUCGAGAGGUCCGUGGGAUCGGGAGGUCCGCGGUUCAACACCGCGUGCCCCCU
rnacentral:tRNA from 1 species